CAAGAAAGUCCUAAUGUAUUCAGACAAUAGAGAAAGGGGUGAAUAAGACGAUUAAGAGUACAAGAUGGAAAGUGUUAACAUUCUUGCAGAAGAUACUAGGGCUCUGAAAUCUCUGUCAGUAAUUUAAAAAAUCAAAGUGCAAGGUAUGGAGCACUAAAACAGAAGUUAGGAGACCAUAUUAAUUAGAAUUCUUUCAGUGAGUAGUGUGAGAAACCAUCUCAAAUUGAGUUAAAGAGAAGAACAAAAAUGUACUGACCUAACAAAAUAUAUUGGCUAUGUUUCCUCAGAUUCUAGGAAGUAACUAGCUUCAGGUGUGUCUUGAUCAAGCACACAGUAACAUUAGGAAUCUCGUCCUCUAUGUAGUUUCCUCUGUGUUGGCUUUUUCCUCAACAUGGCUCCCUAUGCAUGAUGGCAAUGAUGGUUACCAGUAGCUCCUGGUUUUCAUCCUAGCUAAGUAGUGAUCCUACCAAAAAGAUGACACCUCUUUCUCAAUAAUCCCAGAAUAAGCUUUAAGUCUGAUUCUCAUUGCCUAUUAUUGACCCUACUUUAAUGAUAUGUGUAUUUUAACCAUCUCUGCAGUCGUGAAGAUUCAUUUCUCUACCUGGACAUGCCUGGAUCAUUUGGCUAUUUCUGUACCUCCCUGGGAGAGACCAGCUUAACCUAAAUUACAAGGGCUGAGAGGAAAGAGGAGGUGUCAUCCAAAGGAAAAUUAAGGUCUUAUUGCCAACUAAAUGCAGAGGGGAAGGGAUUCUAGUUAGUAACUAGUUAGGAAAAGAAAACAAUGAAAAAAAAAGAAAGAAAAAAUAAAAAUGUCUGCUGCAUCUGCUGUCCAAUACCAGCUCUGCUACUUACUAGUUCUGUGACCUUAAACAAAUCCUUUCUUUCUCUGAUCUUUUGUUUCUUCAUAUACCAAAGAGAAGGACGUGAACAGUAGGUUUAAGAUCCUUUCCAGCUCUAAAUAUUCUUUGAUUAUGGAUCAUGUACACACAAAUGCUCCUCAAAUCCCAUAUCACAAACACCAUCUUUACACCUAGAGCUUAAAGAAGGUAGUUUUAGAAAAAAUGCAAGGAAAGGCUUCUUCCUAGAAUUUAUUGUUUGAAGAACAUGGACUCUGAAGCUGACAGCUCAGGCUUUAGUGCCAGAUUUCCAACAGGUCCUGCACUGUCUCAUACAAAUUGUGGUGCUUGGUAUGAACAACAGGUUUCAUAACAAUACCUCCCUUCGAGAGUUGUGAUGGAGAGUAUGGCAGACAGCAUUCCAAGACGGUCCCAUGAUUCCGACUGCCAGGCAUCCUUGCCCUGUACGAGCCUUCCACAUUUCUUUUCGUUACUUGGUGGAAUUCCUUGAGUGAGGAGAAACCUGUGAUUUGCUUCUAGCCAAUGGAAAAUGGCAAAGAUGAUGGGAUAGUCACUCCUGUGUUUGUAUUACAUUAUAUAAUGCCUCAUCUUAGCCUGUGACUUGCUUCUAGCCAAUAGAAAAUGGAAAAUAUGAUGGGAUAAUCACUCCUGUGUUUGUAUUACAUUAUCUAAGGCUCCAUCUUAGCCCACUGGAGCAAAAGAUCCUCCCUAUCAUCUUGAAGAAUUAAGCUGUCAUGUUAUGAGAGGCAGGGACCAAUCACAGGGACUUGAGCCUGCAAAUAAAGUCCUGGUUCUUCAACUAUAAGGAAAUGAAUUCUACCAAGUCACUGAAAGGAAUUUGAAGGUGGAUGUUUCCCCAUUGUCUUAGCCUGUUUUCUAUUGCUUAUAACAGAAUACCUGACACUGGGAAAUUUAUGAGAAAUAAACUUUAUUUCUUAUGGUUCUGGAGGCUGAGAAGUCCAAGGUCAAAGGGGGGCAUCUGAUGAGAGCCUUCUUGCUGAUGGGAACUCUGAGCAGAGUCAUGGUGGCACAGGCCAUCACAAGGUGUCACAGGGCAUCAUGAAGUGGCACAGGGCAUCACGAGGUGGAACAGGGCAUGGCAAGGUAGCACAGGAUGUCACGAGGUGGCACAGGAUGUCCCAUGGUGAGUAGCUGAGUAUGCUAGCUCAGGUCUGUCUUCCUCUUCUUAUAAAGCCACCAGUCUCACUCCCACGAUAACCCAUCAAUCCAUCAACCCACUAAUCCAUUAAUUCAUGAAUGGGUCAAUUAAUUCUUUGAGGCAGAGGCUCUCAUGACCCAAUCACCUCUUAAGGGCACCACCUUUCAAUCCUGCCACAUUGGGGAUCAAGUUUCAACACGAGCUUUGGAGGGGACACACAUUUAAACCAUAGCACCCUGUCAGUCCUCCAAAUCGGAAUGCAGCCUGGCUAAUACCUUGAGUGUGGCCUUAUGAAACCUUGAAGAGGAAAACCAGCUAAGCUCUGCCUGGGACUCUAACCCAUGGAAAAUGAGAGGUAGUACAUGUUUGCUAUUUUAAGAUGCUAAGUUUGCGGUGAUUUGUUAUGCAGUAGUAGAAAAUUAAUACAAAGUGUUAAUUAGAUAAUGCAUGCAAAAUGAAUAACUUAGCAAGAUGCCUGGCUAAGUAUUCAAUAUUAGCUAUUCUUCUUAUUAUAAUGACAGAGUUUGGCAUUGCAGACAUAAGACAACACAAUACUAUAAAUCUCUCUGUGACCUUCAGGGAUGGCUUUCUGGGCUGGACAGACCAUCUUUGCAGACAUCUAUACAGCCAAAUGAUGACCAAGCUGAUGAGCCAUUUACUUGAAAUACAAUUUAUCAUCAUCUAGUUUCAGUGGAAACUAGUUUAUAGUAUAAUGGAAACUGAUCCAGAGUAUUAGUAUUGGAAAGGCACUAAGCUUAUACAAUAAGAAAGGAG
rnacentral:lncRNA from 1 species